rnacentral:piRNA from 1 species
UCAUUUGUGCUGGACCAUACUGCGAGGUA